GUACGUAUAAAAUCUGCUCGUGCUCCAGGACUAUCUUCAAUUUUUGAUACCAGCUAUCGAAAUUGGAUCCCUCAGCUUAUCAUUGUCUAACAGUGAUUGGAGCAACAAGUUGGUGGCUAUAACUAUAAAAAAAAAUCAAAAUCUAAUUAGUAUAUGAAUCGAUUAAGCCUAAAGAUAUGGAUUUUAGUCUAAAGAUUCUCCCACUAUUGAUAGCUUCUACC
rnacentral:lncRNA from 1 species